rnacentral:other from 1 species
AAGGAGCUGCCCGGUUUGUCAGGCGACAUCACACCCCCGGGCCGAUAAUCACUUCCUCGGGAGCUGGCUCUGUCGUGGCCCUGGCCACGUUAUCUGGCGCCCACCUGUUUGAGCAGGUCUAGGAGGGUUGAUAAAAGGACCAACGGCUGCGGUGGCUCCACC